CGCUUAUAGAGAAAGACGGAGGGAUUAGACCCUACGAAGUCUUAGCAACCUGUGCUUACAAGGUGCUACAUUCUACUUAGGGUGAAACUCUAGGAAAGAUAAGUG
rnacentral:ncRNA from 1 species